rnacentral:misc_RNA from 1 species
UCCUUUUUCUCCUGUUUGAAUCGAUAGGUAAACUGACGGCUGCAUUAAAUAUCGAUACAGAAAAAUGUAGGGGGUAUAAAAGACGACCCAUUCGACGUUGGAUUUACAAACCUCCACCAUCUCCUAAAUAGAAAAUGAAGUUGUUUCUGAUUGUCUUCCUUUUGGCUGUCGUCUGUUUGGCCGUCGCUGCUGGGUUGGCCCCACCACCUGGACCUCCCAAACCUCCCGGACCCCCCGGACCCCCUAUUAGGACGACAACAACCACGUCCACUGUGAGAACGACAACAACUCCUGUCACGACGACAACAGUCCGGCCAAUAAAAACAAGAAAACCCAAGAAAACCACCGCGACGACAACGACCACCAGCCAGCCAACCACCUCGACAACAGCAACAACAUCGACGACACGGCCAAGUCCUACUACCACCGUCAACCCAACGACCACGACUACCGCCCCACCUACCGUAACCUGCACUGCUGUAGCCAAUUCCGCAAUAUCUGAAUCACCUUGCGGGACUUGUACGCCGCUGUCGUCAACGAACGGAACGAUCGAGUCACUUCACUUCCCAAACGACUACGGCGUGUACUUUCCUAAUAUCUCGUACAUCAACUGCCUCUACACGAUCACGGCCUCACCGGGCAGGAAAAUAAAACUGACAUUCAUCAAUAAAUUCGUCGUGGAUCAGAAUAAUGACUUUAUCACUAUUUAUGACGGAAUGGCUCCCAACGGAACGAUUCUAGCGGACUCUCUCACCGGUUACGUCCUACCCCCUGCUCCGUUUACGACCGUCACGACUAACCAAAUGGUGGUCAGUUUCAAGACGGAUAAAAAUAAUGUCGGUCUACCGUUUCGUUUCAGGCCAGCCGGUUGGCAAGCGAAUUACACGAUAGUGCCGAUAAGCGCAGCGACAACAACAACCAAAGUCGCCUCAUCAUCGACGCUGUCGACAACAACAAAAACAACUCCAACUCCUUCCGGGCCGAUUCUUUUAAAUUGCACUGUUUAUGAUCCAGCCUGUGGAAAUGUGUGCACCAAUGUGACGUCAUCGGGCACCGGUGUCGUCCAGUCUCCCAACUUCCCCGGCGACUACGGCAAUAAGGACAGGGCUUGCGUUGUCAUCAUCACCGCGCCAGUAGGUUGGAUGAUCCAAUUGAAAUUCACCACCUUCAAUUUGGAGACUGAUGUAGCCUAUGUUGAUGUUCACGAUGAUUCCGUGUAUCUAUUGUCCGCUACAACCGGCAACACAAUUCCUGCCCUAGUCCCCGCAACCAUCAACAAAAUGUACAUCACUUUUCAGUGUUCCGCCAGUACUAAACCCAGCACCGCCAUAUACAAUUGGCAGGCGACUUUCUCUGUGACGAGCCAAGGGAGUUCUUGUUCCGUUGAUGAUCCAGCGUGUGGAACUAUGUGCACCAAUGUGACGUCGGCGGGAGGUGUUGUCCAGUCUGGCAACUUCCCCGGCGACUACGGGAAUUGGGACGGAAAUUGCGGAGUCACCAUAACCACGCCAGCCGGAUGGAUGAUCCAAUUGAACUUCACCACCUUCAAUUUGGAGACUGACAAAGCCAAUGUCUAUGUGUUCGCUGACUCAGUUUAUCUAUUGCCUUAUACAACCGGCAACACAAUUCCCGCCCUAGUCCCCACAACAACCGACGCAAUGGAAGUCGGCUUUCUAAUUGGUACCAGUAGUAAACCCAGCAACGCCAUAUACAAUUGGCAGGCAACUUUUUCUGUCUCGAGCCAAGGGAGUUCUUGUUACGUUCACGAUCCAGCAGCCUGUGGCAAUAUGUGCACCAAUGCCACGUCAGCUGGCACCGGUGUUGUCCAGUCUCCCAACUUCCCCGCCGACUACGGGAGUGACAACAUGUAUUGCAGAGUCACCGUUAUCGUGCCAGCAGGAAAGAAAAUCCAAUUGACAUUCACCACCUUCAAUUUGGAGACUGGCAAAGGAUUGAUUAAAGUUUACGACAAAACCACGACUUAUUUGAACAGUGUAACCGGAAGUACAAUUCCUGCAAUAGUCACCACAAAAACCGACAUCGCGUACAUCCAGUUUUAUAUGUAUGCCAGUACUAAACCCCCCACCGCAACGUACAAUUGGCAGGCGACUUACACUGCUUCGGAUGGUGUAGAUGCAACAAGUACAACACCUCGGCUGAGUACAAUGAAAACAACAACAACAACCAUCAAAUAAAUUCCUUUGCUUUGCAGAUUUACGGCGGGAUAUCCGAUUUGGGUGCGAAUCCGCCAGUAUUGAACAGGAUCUACUAAUCAUUCCAUCCAGUUUUCCUGCUCUUUCGAUAAUCUUACUAACCCCAAUAGUUAUUUAGAUGUCAUGUAUUCCUUGGACAUGGACUAUGUGCGUGUGCCUGUAGCUACAACAGAAUAUAUUUUUCAAGUGAUCCUUAUCUGGCGCUAUUGAAUCGUUUCACCAACGGGAAUCAAUUUCAUUGCUAUUGGAAACAGUUCACCAUAUCAACGACCAACGAUUUCAAGAGUUAUUAGUUAUUAGAGUUAUCGCUGGAUUCCU